UUGUUGUUAUUUUUUUUUUCUUUCUUUCUUUCAUUAUACACGCACGAGCUCUUGUUUCUUUUUUCUUUUUUUUCCCUCUUUCUCUUCUUCCUCUUUUCUCUUCCCCUCUUCUCGUUCUUUUCUUUUCUUUUCCACUAAGAGACCGAGAGACCGAGAGAGAAAGAGAGAGAGAGCGAGAGAGAGAGAGAUCGGAUAGGGAGACAUGCGGUGGGCUAGCCACCGUUAGGGUGGACGAUGACGCUGGAGGCCGGUGGGUCUCGGCUCAACGCUGGUAAAGCCAAGGGACGUCUUUUUUCGGCAUUUUCUCGGUACCCAAAUGUAGAGAAGUUCAUUUUUGGAUGGCGUUAUUUAUAAUAAUCUUGAGGACAUGAGUACCGGUGGGUCUAUUGGUCAUUAAGGACCCAUACAUCUAGCCUUACGAACGGGACACGUGGACAACAGAGGCCAUAACAGUAAAUAUAGUAGUAGCAGUUAUAGACGGGACCGCUUGAAAAGAAAAGUCUAACUUGUGCAGCUUUUGUUAUGUAAUUGUACAUCUUUUGUUAUUUUGUAUACUUUAAUGUCCCAUGUAUAGGACUCUAACAACUGUAGUAUCUAAGACAUAAUCUCCCUAUAGUUGUUUUCUUUUGUUUAUACCUCCAUUAAUGGAAAGGUAACGAACUAUGGAUUCCAGUGUAUAUAUAUAUAUAUAGGAUGAUAUUUUAAGUUGCCUCU